rnacentral:rRNA from 2 species
GUGGGGUGACUGCGUACCUUUUGUAUAAUGGGUCAGCGACUUAUAUUCUGUAGCAAGGUUAACCGAAUAGGGGAGCCGGAGGGAAACCGAGUCUUAAUUGGGCGUUAAGUUGCAGGGUAUAGACCCGAAACCCGGUGAUCUAGCCAUGGGCAGGUUGAAGGUUGGGUAACACUAACUGGAGGACCGAACCGACUAAUGUUGAAAAAUUAGCGGAUGACCUGUGGCUGGGGGUGAAAGGCCAAUCAAACCGGGAGAUAGCUGGUUCUCCCCGAAAGCUAUUUAGGUAGCGCCUCGUGAAUUCAUCUCCGGGGGUAGAGCACUGUUUCGGCUAGGGGGCCAUCCCGGCUUACCAACCCGAUGCAAACUGCGAAUACCGGAGAAUGUUAUCACGGGAGACACACGGCGGGUGCUAACGUCCGUCGUGAAGAGGGAAACAACCCAGACCGCCAGCUAAGGUCCCAAAGUCAUGGUUAAGUGGGAAACGAUGUGGGAAGGCCCAGACAGCCAGGAUGUUGGCUUAGAAGCAGCCAUCAUUUAAAGAAAGCGUAAUAGCUCACUGGUCGAGUCGGCCUGCGCGGAAGAUGUAACGGGGCUAAACCAUGCACCGAAGCUGCGGCAGCGAACGUAUCACCCAAGACAACUUUACGGAGUUGACGAUUGACGGAGCGAAGCGACGUCAAAGCGUUCAUUAAAGUCGAGUUGGCUUAGGGAUACGUUCGUUGGGUAGGGGAGCGUUCUGUAAGCCUGUGAAGGUGUGUCGUGAGGCAUGCUGGAGGUAUCAGAAGUGCGAAUGCUGACAUAAGUAACGAUAAAGCGGGUGAAAAGCCCGCUCGCCGGAAGACCAAGGGUUCCUGUCCAACGUUAAUCGGGGCAGGGUGAGUCGACCCCUAAGGCGAGGCCGAAAGGCGUAGUCGAUGGGAAACGGGUUAAUAUUCCCGUACUUGGUGUUACUGCGAAGGGGGGACGGAGAAGGCUAUGUUGGCCGGGCGACGGUUGUCCCGGUUUAAGCGUGUAGGUGUGUGUUCCAGGUAAAUCCGGUU